UUUUCAAAAGCAGUUAUUUAAGCCAUUUUAAUGUUCAGCAAUCUGAAUGGUCUUUUCAUUAAUUAAAAUUAGAUUUUUGGAAAAUAGCUAAAAAAUUCCCAUGUUUUUUUUUUUUGUUUGUUUACAAUAUCUAAUGCAUGGCAAUAGUUAAAUGUUUCCCCUUACUGGUAAAAGGCCACUUAAGAGUGUAGCAAAUAUAGAUUGAGCUAUGUAUGUUAGAUUGCAAUAAUGUAUGUUAGUUUUAAUAAGUAAAGACCAGUGUUUUUCCUACAAUAUGAAUGUCUUAAUUUUGAGUUACAAGGUAUUUGUGUGGAUAGCUGUUGAAAAGUCAUAGUUGUAAUAAUUUAGAGAGAAAGGAAAGAUUUGACUGAGCAAGCCUUAUUAAGAACACCACUACUUGCUACUGUUCAUUCUGAAAGGAAAUACGAAUUCUAUGAUUAUAUAUAAAAAUAACUUAGAUUAGCUAUAAUGAUAAAGUAUAUUGGCUUUUCUUUAAUUUCUGAUAUGAAAAGAUAUAUUGAAUAGACAUUUCCUGCACAAUUUUGUUACAUAGAACAGCUUUUAGGCAGCCUUUAUUUAUAAAGUUAUGCAAGCACACAAUUUCCCCAUUUACUACUUCAGUGCCCACAAUAGGAGGUAGCUACAUGGUUUAUUGCAUCAGGGCCCAGGAGGGUCAAGGAAACAAUUCUGAUCUUUUGGGGAUGGGGGAAGAGGGUUCUGUGGCUGUAGGGGAGGAACUGCAAGUGCCUGAGGACCAGAGUGACCUCUGGCUCUGCAACUGAACACUUAAAUCUAAAGAGCCUUCUCUCAAGAAGUGCCAGUCUUUAAAGGAAAGUAGCCAGCACCUCUAUGAUGCAACAGAAGAACAUGAACAACGUCAGUUGAAUGGACUGCACUGAAAUCCAAGUCAGUUUUUAAUAACUAUGGGUGAUCUUGGCCAAGUGACUUCUCAGCCACCAUUCUCUGCAUCUCCUAAAUGCAAGUAAUGCUUGGAAAACUUUCUAGGAUUAACUGAUUAAAGGAACAGAGGCACUUUAGAUACAAAAAGUAACUCCUAAGGAAUAGUAGCUGUUUCAUAAUUGUAUAGUUUGUACUCUAGGAAAAGAGUGAAGAGGUAAAAGGCAGUAGAGGACAAAUUAAGGUGAUGAUGUAGACUUUGGGGCUAGGUGAGUAUCUUUUUUUUCUGUUUAUUUUCAUAAUGCUUUUCUGUGUUUCUAGAAACUAAUGUUUUGAACUUCUUUUAUAAAAUUUAGUGACUACUAGUAGAAUUCUAUUUAUUGCAGAAGUUAUCUUCAUUUAAGUGGCUGAAAGUAUUGUUUAUUACCUAAUUAUCAAAUGACUACAAAGAACAUAACAUUAAAUUCAGUGACGUAAUUAGUCACUGCCU